CUCAGGUAGCUGCUGUGGGGCUGGCUCGGAGGGUUCCGCCGCGGCGGUGGUGGAACCCGCAUCUAACACGUGCGGCGGGCCAUGAUUUCUUCACGUGUGGGAAGCAGGGUCUCCAGAUGUGACAUUAGGGCUGGUGAUGAAUCCUGAAACUUCCAGAACCUUCCCUCAGUCCCACACACCAUGGACAGUGGCACCAUGGCUUAUCGCUUCCCCAGUCCAAUCAGAUGCAGGCUCUACCAUUUGAGCCACACAUCCACUUCUGGCUUUU